CUGCUACACUGAGAGCUGGAACUUAAUUAGCUGAGAGGUCAAGAGUGGUGCUCCUAAUAGACUGCUGCUGGAGCUACUACAGAGAGGGACUGUUACAGAAAAACCCAACACAAGAGGGUUUGUUUGGAGCCCUUUAUUGCUGAAGCUCUGAGGUCAGACCAUACAAGAAUAAUCAUCAAUAAAGAGACAUUUUGGGAAAAGAAAAGGGAAGGAGAAAAGCCAGAAGUUUUCUUCACUGUACUGAGCAGGAUACGGAAAGAAAAGCAGAGGUUCCCGGCAACACAUACCACUGCCUCCCUUUGGUCACAGGAUCCACAGGGAGAGAAGAACUCUGCAGAAAAUAUUAGACAGUAACUUUUCUGACUUACUUCCAAAGGGCUGGAAGGGGGGAAAGUUGUGCAUUUCACUCCUGUCCCAGGCCUAAUCAAUUCUCACUCUUACGCCAACAUGAAUGCUAGACUAAGGCCUGGAGUUCUAUGAAAGGGAAAAGGAUAGUGCUGUGGAAGCAAUUGAGCCUCACUUCAGCACCAAAUUGGGAAAUCGGAUGCCUUCUGGUUGCAGAUGUAGGGGGAAUGUUCUUGGCCAGGAGGAUGUUCAGUGUCUGCUCAAAAGAGGCCCAAAACCGGACAAGCAAAAUGUUGCAUCUCAGGAAUGUUUUGGUCUGUGGGAGCUGAACAUCUCUCCCGCUUCCAAGUUCUAGCCUGACGCUAGUUUCUCAUGAUAAAGAGCACGGACUGCAGAUUUGCUAGAACAUAUUUUGUAUACUAGAACCACAUAAUUAUCAAUGAGUACUUUGGGAAUGUGUUGCUAAGAUGAACUUCUGCCCUUGCAGGCUGUUUUGUGGCAAUUAACAGCGAAUAUACAAGUCUACACCGUAUAUUGCCUAUAUUCAGAUAUGUAGUUGUAGAUGUUUUGUUUUUCAGUUCAAUACAAUAAUUACAAUUAAUUUUAUCAUUUUUCAUUUCAAACUUGUGUCAACUACUGUGUGUUACAUUGAUUUGGAAUUAGCAGUCAUAACUAUCUAGGCAUUCAGAGAUGUUGAAUUAGCAUUAACUGUAAUGGAUCAAACUAUUUUUUUUCUAAUAUGUAUCUUAACAAGCUAUUCAAAUUCUCCUUGCACUCUCUUUACUGAGUGACAGCAUGUACAGACUUUAUUUAGUUUUUAUUUAUUUUCUCUUUUAAAACCGAAUGAAUGAGCUUGUAAAUUGUUUUUUGGGGGGGGAAUGGUCUCUAUUCAAGCAGAGGUGUUUUUCAAGCAGUAUAAGUUUUAUAAGUCUAAUCAUUUAAAACUUCAUUGUCUACUUAAUUUACAUAUUAGUACUUUCUAUUCUGGCUUUUUCAGGAUUCUUUAUGCUACAAUAUACCUGACUUUAUAUAAAUUUUGCCUCCUAUUCUAGUUAUGUACAUAACAUUAUCAGUCUGUUCACAUUUUGAUAAAUGUAGUCAAACACUAAAAACUUCACUAGUGCUCCAGAUUUUACUAUUGCUGUUCUGAGAUUUUUCUCUGCUAUAGAAAUAUAAACAUAUUCCCCAGGGUUCCCAGAAAACAUCACCCCUGUGUUUCUGCAUGUGUAUUUCAGCAAAGGGGCUCCAGCAGCAAUUUUGAGCGUUUGCAAUUUUCAGCCCAGCUGGUAGCAGAGGGGCUGCAGUGACAGAAAUGAAGCCAGUACUAUGGUUUACAAUAAACACAUUGUGAACUCCUUGAGAAUUAAAUGCAGUCUCCUCUAAUUCCUACUUUUCAUUCUGAAGAAUGCAAUAUUAUCUACAUUAUCUAAAUGCACUUUUAGUUAAAAAGCAAUAAAAUUAGCAUUUUAGGCGAUAAUUCAAAUCAACGUGUAGUUCUUCUAUACACUACUUUUUCUUUAAACCAGAGCAAUCUGGGAAAGUUGUUUUGCUGUCCUUGGUCAAACUUAGUAUAAUUAACACCUUGCCUCGUGUGCUUCUUUAUUGUCCAUAAUACAACAUAAUGGCUAUGGUGACCUAGUGAUCACACAAGCAAAAUGACAGAUUGCUAAUCCUUUCACAUUUUAGUACUGCCUUUCUUCCUACUUCAGUAAUUAUAUAGUUUAUUUCUCUGGCUCAACAACAAAGUCAGUUAAAGAGCUAAAUUAUUUCCUGGUAUCACAACCCUUAUUGAACUAUUUGUAUGGGCUUUUCUUCCACUUUCUAAAUGUGUGAAAAUAAACUGCGGACAAGCAAUUUACUUGAAAACCAUACACUGCUUUUAGUUGCUUCCCAGUUCACAUGAUGGAAAAUUUCUAUUGCAUUUUUGUUUAAUAAAGU